rnacentral:rRNA from 1 species
UACGUGGGGGGCAAGCGUUGUUCGGAAUUACUGGGCGUAAAGGGCUCGUAGGCGGUCAACUAAGUCAGACGUGAAAUCCCUCGGCUUAACCGGGGAACUGCGCCUGAUACUGGAUGGCUUGAGUUUGGGAGAGGGACGCGGAAUUCCAGGUGUAGCGGUGAAAUGCGCAGAUAUCAGGAGGAACACCGGUGGCGAAGGCGGGUCUCUGGGCCGAUACUGACGCUGAGGAGCGAAAGCGUGGGGAGCAAACAGG